GGGAGGUAGGGUGAGCGGGCGGAGUACAUGCGUAGGGGGUAGUGGUGGUUUGGAAGUGCUGGUAGUGAAGGGGUGGCAUGCGGCGAUCCAAGUCAGUGGUGAAAGCCCGGAGGUCAACUCCGGAACGUCCAUUGAAGCUGUUUAUCUGUGGUAUGAGGUGGGUGAGUGGAAUUCCCAGUGUAGAGGUGAAAUUCGUAGAUAUUGGGAAGAACACCGGUGGCGAAGGCGGCUCACAGGCUCAUUACUGACGCUCAUGCGCGACAGCGUGGGGAUCAAACAGGAUUAGAUACCCCAGUAGUC
rnacentral:rRNA from 1 species